CGCCCUUCGGGGUGGCAGCGGCGCGAAAACUUUACCCGUCCGGCGACGGCNAAUAGGGAACCUCGAGUGCCAGGUUACAAAUCUGGCUGUCGUGAUGCCUAAAAAGCAUUGCAUAGCAAGGGCCGGGCAAGACCGGUGCCAGCCGCCGCGGUAACACCGGCGGCUCGAGUGGUAACCGUUAUUAUUGGGUCUAAAGGGUCUGUAGCCGGCCGGAUAAGUCUCUUGGGAAAUCUGGCAGCUUAACUGUCAGGCUUUCAGGAGAUACUGUCUGGCUCGAGGCCGGGAGAGGUGAGAGGUACUUCAGGGGUAGGGGUGAAAUCUUGUAAUCCUUGAAGGACCACCAGUGGCGAAGGCGUCUCACCAGAACGGACCUGACGGCAAGGGACGAAAGCUAGGGGCACGAACCGGAUUAGAUACCCGGGUAGUCCUAGCCGUAAACGAUACUCGCUAGGUGUCGGCCACGGUGCGACCGUGGUCGGUGCCGUAGGGAAGCCGUGAAGCGAGCCACCUGGGAAGUACGGCCGCAAGGCUGAAACUUAAAGGAAUUGGCGGGGGAGCAC
rnacentral:rRNA from 1 species